CCUACGGGUGGCAGCAGUGGGGGAUAUUGCACAAUGGGGGAAACCCUGAUGCCGCGACGCCGCGUGGGCGCAGAAGUAUUUCGGUAUGUAAAGCCCUAUCAGCAGGGAAGAAGAAAUGACGGUACCUGAUUAAGAAGCACCGGCUAACUACGUGCCAGCAGCCGCGGUAAUACGUAGGGGGCAAGCAUUAUCCGGCGUUACUGGGUGUAAAGGGAGCGCAGGCGGCCCGUCAAGCCAGAUGUGAAAGCCCGCGGCCCAACCGCGGGACUGCAUUGGUAAAUGCCGGGCUGGAGUGCCGGAGAGGUAGGCGGAAGUCCUAGUGGAGCGGUGAAAUGCGUAGAUAUUAGGAGGAACACCAGUGGCGAAGGCGGCCGACUGGACGGUGACUGACGCUGAGGCUCGAAAGCGUGGGGAGCAAACAGGAUUAGAUACCCGAGUAGUC
rnacentral:rRNA from 1 species